rnacentral:lncRNA from 1 species
GGGGCGGGGAUGGGUGGUGGUGGUGGUGGUGGUGGGGGGGGGUGUGUGUGCGUACUCGCUAAUUCCAUGUCACCCCCCCCCCCCCCCGGUACUAAUUUGGGCCACGUGGGAACGCCCAAAGCUCGUUUAAAACUCUCUCCCGCUGUCUCACGAAUUGUCAAAGCCGUUUUGUCUGCAAGCAGGUACACUCACAUUGCCUUUUACUUUCUGCUUCACGAACCCAUCUCAUUCUGUUUGGUCUCGUCCUCUCGUCUCUCUCGCUCUGCCAUUUAUUUUCUCCCUUGUUCGAGUACUUGUCCCAAUGAAGAUACAACAACCGAUGAGAGUCUUUCGCGUGAUGAUGUGUUUGUCUGCAGCAGCAGUGCUGGUUUGCGGAGCUGCAUGGUUGGGCGUGGCAUUCUGCCUUCUCGACCACGCCCACAAGCUUGUGGAGGUCAAACUUGAAUAUUGGGAAACUCUCUCUUCCUCGCUACCUUCACAUCGCUCCACGAUCGUCCCGACGCUUCACGGCUCUCCACCUGGACCGGCUCCGCUCACACUGUCCCCCGUGUUUGCACUGGCUUGCGCAUGCGUGCUCGGGGGGCUAUGGGCGGGGCUGGUGGGCGUGGCGGGAUUAAUAGCAGGAGGCGUGGUCAAGCGCUGGUUACUGUGCAUGUUUACUGGUGCCGCCUUGAGCACAUCUGCUUGGCUCCUGCCUCUGAUUUUACUGCUGCUCGGAGAGCCACAGGUCAAAGAUGAAUACGGUCUGAUGCUUCAAAGACACCGUGUUUCACUUGCUGUCGUGUCCGUCGCUACAGCUGCCAGCACGAUCUUCUCUGCUGUUACUUCUCUCUUUUUGCUGAAACGACUGGGGAAAGGAAAGACCGAAGAACACGAAGCUUUGCUAAGAGCGUGAUCGAUUCAUUAUUAUUUUUAUUCAAUCACAUUGUAUGUAUGGGUUUCACUCAUUCCAACACAUUCACUCACAAUCAUUCAUUCUUUGAUCAUUUGUAUUUCAGUUAAAAAGACAAAACAAAGAAACCCCCCAAAAAUGAACAAAAGUCCCCUCCUUUUUCAUGAUGCAUUCAUUGUCCUUUAUUAUUAAUUUGUUAUUGCAUUCAUUCCACGUUCACUUUUCAAAUUAUGGGUCAUUCAUCGAUGAUUGAAUGCACUUUUCUUGAUUUAUUCUCAAGUGUUGCGCACUCAUUCUGGUUUACUUUUCACACCACCAAACACUUAUUCAUGUCUUUAUUUUGUGACUUGUAAUCGAUCAAUAUUUGUUGCACUGUGUUAAUGAGUUUUAACUCAUCGUCUCACUUCAUAACUAUCGAGACACGAAACGCGGAGUUUACGAUGUAUUAAAAUCAUGGUUUUUAUUUGUUAAAUACACU